CUGAAAAACAAAUGCAGAAAACAGUAAAAACUCUGAAAACACAGUGAUGUUAUGUAAUGUCUUUGUUGAUUUACAUUUUGAUGUUUCCUUUUCAGGGCCGUAGAUGAAAUAAUCCAGGCUGUAGACAUCAAGUCGUAUGGGUCUUCUCCCAGUGCAUCGGGCACAACCCCAACAUCUCCAACCAAGCCUCCUGAUUCAAAAGAUGCUCCAAAAAUUAAAAAGCAACUUUCAAAAGAUGUUCCAAUGAACUUUUAUCAGGAUGAGAGCCUACAGAAUGAGCCUCCGAGCCCCCAUAAGUCGUCGUGUCUCAUCUCUUAAAGGGAGUCUUCAGUUCUGCUCAUUGUUCUGUUACAGUUUCUACAUAAAUUUGCUCUUAACACACACACACACACACACACACACACACACACACACACACACACACACACAC